GGACAUGAAGGCGAUCUGGCUGUGAGAUCUGUCACCUCAUUGAUCACCAGGAUUGAUCUGACUGAUCCGGCUGGCUUGGCAGGUGUCCCUUUCCUCCCUGGCCACUCCAUGUGAGUCCUUUCCAAAGCUGCACACUCAGUGGAAGAGGAAGACCUUCCCUGAAUAAAGAUGGACAGGUCUUAAGUCAAUGGGAAAUGAGUAGCUGUGCUCCUCUUCUAGAACCUCCAAACAAGCUCUCAAAAAUGAUCUAUCUAGAGAAAUUUUUCCAUUUCAAAUCUGAUUUCUCUCCUGUUUGAAUGUAUUCUUAAU
ensembl:misc_RNA 7SK 7SK RNA